CUGAUGCAGCCUUACCGGCAUCCAGCAAAAAUAAAACUGGUUACCAGGAAACUCUCAUCAGCUUCCAAUGCAUCUACCUCUGGAAAAGUUUGGACAUUCUGCACACAUCAGCUAAAGCGUUUUAAAAGCCUGUCAUAAACAAAAGUAUAUAUUUUGAUGAAUUAUGAUCUAGCUUUUAUUCUUGUAUAAUCUAUUGGUUAUAAUUUAUGUCUUCAGAGUCUGAUAUGAACACGCGUCCAAAAACUCUCUCUGCUUGCAGUGGAUCAGCUGUUAUGGAAGAUUCCAAAUUUGCACUUUCUGGUAUGAAUGAAUGAAAUGAGGCUAAAAUAAUUUUAUAUGUAUUUAUUUACUAAAAUUAUUUAAUAUUAUUUUUGUGUUCUUGUUCUUAAAAAUACCCUUAUAAUAAACUGUACUGUUUUAAAAUUGGUAUUUAAAAAAAAAAAUCUCAAUUCUGUGUUUUUCUUUUUCUUUUUUUCUCUCUAAUAAUCAUUUAUUUAGACUCAAUAAAGGAGACAUUUGGUGUUCUAGAGAAUGGUUAUGUUAAAGUCGACCCAGAGAGGCAACUUCCCAGUCAGCUUUACUGGAUCUUUAUACACCAAUACACUUUCCAGGAGGCACAGCUGUGGUGUCUGAAACGUAAGAUGCAAUUUUGCUUACGCUUAUAUACUUACUAAAUGUCUGUGUGGUCCAAGAAUGUGUCACAUUCUGAUCUGUAAAUAUGGGAUUUGGGUUUCAGGCUGCGAAGAAGAAGAAUUCUGUCGUGUCUGAUAUUCGUGAUGAAGGGUCUCUGUAUUUUGUGUGUGUAUUGUAUCCUGACACGCAUGUAUGUGGGGCAUAUGACAAACCCCCUCAGGCAGGCAUGCAGUUUAGUCUUCAGACUGCACACCAGAAGAAAGAUAUGAUCCUAGCAACUGAACAUGGAAUGCAGAUGAUGCAGAUUUUGGUAUUGCUGGAGCCUUAUAGAGACAUAAGGUCAUUAGCCAUAAAACGAACCAUGUCUAGUUCUCAUUACACAUUUUUGGAGCUGCUAGUAAGAGGAAUUGUCUGGAAGACUGGAGAACAUUUCAGUGAGGUGAAGUGGCAAAACUCCACCUCACCCAUGUGGCGUGCAGACAGUGGUGAGCUCAUGGUGUCUGCGGUACGUGGAAGCAAAGACUAACACAAUCUAAUGCGACUUUCCUCAACACCACCUGAAAAAUCCACUAUCUUGACAUAUUGUCUAGCUGGUACAGUUGAGUGAUGUUCUGACUUUGACUUCUGCUAAUUGCUUCUGCUUCCUUCAAAAAAGUGUCAAACUCAUCUGUUAAUAUCUUAAUAGUGGUAGCUUUAUGACCCUGCUCAUGACCAUUUAAGUGUGAAAUCUAACGGAAAUUCCGCCAGCCACAUUCUAAGUUAGACGACUCUAACUUACAGGCACCAUGGUAUCAAGUUUUGUAUUAGUAUUAGUUUCUAUUAGUUUUUAUGCCAUCCAUAUGCUAUACUGUACUCCUAAAUUUAAACUUUUUUAACUUCUAGCAGAUAUAAUAAUCCAUGGUCCAUAUGAUAAUGGUUUAAUAAAUUAAACCAUUUACAAGAAAACUGAAAUUGU
ensembl:lncRNA